rnacentral:rRNA from 1 species
UUCUUACUGUAAAUAAUUGUAAGUAAUACCUGCUCAAUGAAUUUUCAAUAGCCGCGGAAAUUUAACCGUGCUAAGGUAGCAUAAUCAUUAGCCUCUUAAUUAGAGGCUUGUAUGAAUGGUAAAACAUUUCAGAUACUUUAUUAAUCAAUAGAUUCAAAUUUAAAUUAAGAAUAAAAAUGUUCUUAUUCAAAAAAUAGACGACAAGACCCUUUUGAACUUUACUUUAGUUUAGCUGGGGCAGCUUAAUAAAAAUCAUCUUAUUUUGAUUUUAUAUAUAAAAGACCCAAUAAAAUUGAUUUAUUGAACAAGUUACCAUAGGGAUAACAGCGUAAUAUCUUUUUAAAGCUCUUAUUAAAAAAGGUGAUUGCGACCUCGAUGUUGAAUUAAUAUAUCUUUAUAGAUGCAACAAUCUUAAAAGUGGGUCUGUUCGACCAUUGAAAUAUUACAU